GGGGGAUAUUGCACAAUGGAGGAAACUCUGAUGCAGCAACGCCGCGUGAGGGAAGAAGGUCUUCGGAUUGUAAACCUUAGUAGUCAGGGACGAAAAAAAUGACGGUACCUGAAGAGUAAGCUCCGGCUAACUACGUGCCAGCAGCCGCGGUAAUACGUAGGGAGCGAGCGUUGUCCGGAUUUACUGGGUGUAAAGGGUGCGUAGGCGGGACUGCAAGUCAGGCGUGAAAUACCGGGGCUUAACUCCGGGGCUGCGCUUGAAACUGCGGUUCUUGAGUGAAGUAGAGGCAGGCGGAAUUCCUAGUGUAGCGGUGAAAUGCGUAGAUAUUAGGAGGAACACCAGUGGCGAAGGCGGCCUGCUGGGCUUUAACUGACGCUGAGGCACGAAAGCAUGGGGAGCAAAC
rnacentral:rRNA from 1 species